GGGAGGGACGGCAGGAGCACCUCGGAACGGGUGGUGGAUCUGCUGAACCAGGCGGCGCUGAUCGGGAACGAGGGGAAAAUCACCAUCCUGAAACAGGUGCAGGAGCUGAUCAUCAACAAGGACCCCACGCUCCUGGACAACUUCCUGGAUGAAAUCAUCGCCUUCCAGGCCGACAAAUCCAUCGAGGUCCGGAAAUUCGUGGUGGGAUUCAUCGAGGAGGCCUGG